rnacentral:rRNA from 1 species
CACUAUCGUUAACUGAAUACAUAGGUUAACGAGGCGAACCGGGGGAACUGAAACAUCUAAGUACCCCGAGGAAAAGAAAUCAACCGAGAUUCCCCCAGUAGCGGCGAGCGAACGGGGAGCAGCCCAGAGUCUGAAUCAGCUUGUGUGUUAGUGGAACGGUCUGGAAAGUCCGACGGUACAGGGUGAUAGUCCCGUACACCAAAAUGCACAGGUUGUGAACUCGAAGAGUAGGGCGGGACACGUGGUAUCCUGUCUGAAUAUGGGGGGACCAUCCUCCAAGGCUAAAUACUCCUGACUGACCGAUAGUGAACCAGUACCGUGAGGGAAAGGCGAAAAGAACCCCGGCGAGGGGAGUGAAAAAGAACCUGAAACCGUGUACGUACAAGCAGUGGGAGCACCUUCGGGUGUGACUGCGUACCUUUUGUAUAAUGGGUCAGCGACUUAUAUUCUGUAGCAAGGUUAACCGUAUAGGGGAGCCGCAGGGAAACCGAGUCUUAACUGGGCGUUAAGUUGCAGGGUAUAGACCCGAAACCCGGUGAUCUAGCCAUGGGCAGGUUGAAGGUUGGGUAACACUAACUGGAGGACCGAACCGACUAAUGUUGAAAAAUUAGCGGAUGACUUGUGGCUGGGGGUGAAAGGCCAAUCAAACCGGGAGAUAGCUGGUUCUCCCCGAAAGCUAUUUAGGUAGCGCCUCGUGAAUUCAUCUUCGGGGGUAGAGCACUGUUUCGGCUAGGGGGUCAUCCCGACUUACCAACCCGAUGCAAACUACGAAUACCGAAGAAUGUUAUCACGGGAGACACACGGCGGGUGCUAACGUCCGUCGUGAAGAGGGAAACAACCCAGACCGCCAGCUAAGGUCCCAAAGUCAUGGUUAAGUGGGAAACGAUGUGGGAAGGCACAGACAGCCAGGAUGUUGGCUUAGAAGCAGCCAUCAUUUAAAGAAAGCGUAAUAGCUCACUGGUCGAGUCGGCCUGCGCGGAAGAUGUAACGGGGCUAAACCAUGCACCGAAGCUGCGGCAGCGACACUAUGUGUUGUUGGGUAGGGGAGCGUUCUGUAAGCCUGCGAAGGUGUGCUGUGAGGCAUGCUGGAGGUAUCAGAAGUGCGAAUGCUGACAUAAGUAACGAUAAAGCGGGUGAAAAGCCCGCUCGCCGGAAGACCAAGGGUUCCUGUCCAACGUUAAUCGGGGCAGGGUGAGUCGACCCCUAAGGCGAGGCCGAAAGGCGUAGUCGAUGGGAAACAGGUUAAUAUUCCUGUACUUGGUGUUACUGCGAAGGGGGGACGGAGAAGGCUAUGUUAGCCGGGCGACGGUUGUCCCGGUUUAAGCAUGUAGGCUGAUUGUCCAGGCAAAUCCGGAUAAUCAAGGCUGAGGUGUGAUGACGAGGUACUACGGUGCUGAAGUAACAAAUGCCCUGCUUCCAGGAAAAGCCUCUAAGCAUCAGGUAACAUCAAAUCGUACCCCAAACCGACACAGGUGGUCAGGUAGAGAAUACCAAGGCGCUUGAGAGAACUCGGGUGAAGGAACUAGGCAAAAUGGUGCCGUAACUUCGGGAGAAGGCACGCUGGUGUGUAGGUGAAGUCCCUGCGGAUGGAGCUGAGACCAGUCGAAGAUACCAGCUGGCUGCAACUGUUUAUUAAAAACACAGCACUGUGCAAACACGAAAGUGGACGUAUACGGUGUGACGCCUGCCCGGUGCCGGAAGGUUAAUUGAUGGGGUUAUCCGUAAGGAGAAGCUCUUGAUCGAAGCCCCGGUAAACGGCGGCCGUAACUAUAACGGUCCUAAGGUAGCGAAAUUCCUUGUCGGGUAAGUUCCGACCUGCACGAAUGGCGUAAUGAUGGCCAGGCUGUCUCCACCCGAGACUCAGUGAAAUUGAACUCGCUGUGAAGAUGCAGUGUACCCGCGGCAAGACGGAAAGACCCCGUGAACCUUUACUAUAGCUUGACACUGAACAUUGAGCCUUGAUGUGUAGGAUAGGUGGGAGGCUUUGAAGCGUGGACGCCAGUCUGCGUGGAGCCAACCUUGAAAUACCACCCUUUAAUGUUUGAUGUUCUAACGUUGGCCCCUGACCGGGGUUGCGGACAGUGUCUGGUGGGUAGUUUGACUGGGGCGGUCUCCUCCCAAAGCGUAACGGAGGAGCACGAAGGUUAGCUAAUCCUGGUCGGACAUCAGGAGGUUAGUGCAAUGGCAUAAGCUAGCUUGACUGCGAGCGUGACGGCGCGAGCAGGUGCGAAAGCAGGUCAUAGUGAUCCGGUGGUUCUGAAUGGAAGGGCCAUCGCUCAACGGAUAAAAGGUACUCCGGGGAUAACAGGCUGAUACCGCCCAAGAGUUCAUAUCGACGGCGGUGUUUGGCACCUCGAUGUCGGCUCAUCACAUCCUGGGGCUGAAGUAGGUCCCAAGGGUAUGGCUGUUCGCCAUUUAAAGUGGUACGCGAGCUGGGUUUAGAACGUCGUGAGACAGUUCGGUCCCUAUCUGCCGUGGGCGCUGGAGAAUUGAGGGGGGCUGCUCCUAGUACGAGAGGACCGGAGUGGACGCAUCACUGGUGUUCGGGUUGUCAUGCCAAUGGCACUGCCCGGUAGCUAAAUGCGGAAGAGAUAAGUGCUGAAAGCAUCUAAGCACGAAACUUGCCCCGAGAUGAGUUCUCCCUGAGACUUUAAGUCUCCUGAAGGAACGUUGAAGACGACGACGUUGAUAGGCCGGGUGUGUAAGCGCAGCGAUGCGUUGAGCUAACCGGUACUAAUGAACCGUGAGGCUUAACCUU